UACGUAGGGGGCUAGCGUUGUCCGGAAUCAUUGGGCGUAAAGCGCGUGUAGGCGGCCCGGUAAGUCCGCUGUGAAAGUCCAGGGCUCAACCCUGGGAUGCCGGUGGAUACUGUCGGGCUCGAGUCCGGAAGAGGCGAGUGGAAUUCCUGGUGUAGCGGUGAAAUGCGCAGAUAUCAGGAGGAACACCGAUUGCGAAGGCAGCUCGCUGGGACGUAACUGACGCUGAGACGCGAAAGCGUGGGGAGCAAACAGG
rnacentral:rRNA from 1 species